rnacentral:rRNA from 1 species
AUUCACGCUGGCGGCGUGCCUAAUACAUGCAAGUCGAGCGAACAGACGAGGAGCUUGCUCCUCUGACGUUAGCGGCGGACGGGUGAGUAACACGUGGAUAACCUACCUAUAAGACUGGGAUAACUUCGGGAAACCGGAGCUAAUACCGGAUAAUAUAUUGAACCGCAUGGUUCAAUAGUGAAAGACGGUUUUGCUGUCACUUAUAGAUGGAUCCGCGCCGCAUUAGCUAGUUGGUAAGGUAACGGCUUACCAAGGCAACGAUGCGUAGCCGACCUGAGAGGGUGAUCGGCCACACUGGAACUGAGACACGGUCCAGACUCCUACGGGAGGCAGCAGUAGGGAAUCUUCCGCAAUGGGCGAAAGCCUGACGGAGCAACGCCGCGUGAGUGAUGAAGGUCUUCGGAUCGUAAAACUCUGUUAUUAGGGAAGAACAAAUGUGUAAGUAACUAUGCACGUCUUGACGGUACCUAAUCAGAAAGCCACGGCUAACUACGUG